UGCCUUUGAUACUGUUUGUCUUGAGUUAUUAUGAAGUGGUUAGAAUGUGUAGUGUAGCGGUGAAAUGCAUAGAUAUUACACAGAAUACCGAUUGCGAAGGCAGAUCACUAAUAAUUAACUGACACUGAGGGACGAAAGCGUGGGUAGCGAACAGGAUUAGAUACCCUGGUAGUCCACGCCGUAAACGAUGGUCACUAGCUGUUUGGACUUCGGUCUGAGUGGCUAAGCGAAAGUGAUAAGUGACCCACCUGGGGAGUACGUUCGCAAGAAUGAAACUCAAAGGAAUUGACGGGGGCCCGCACAAGCGGUGGAGCAUGUGGUUUAAUUCGAUGAUACGCGAGGAACCUUACCAGGGCUUAAAUGUUAGGUGACAGAUCUAGAAAUAGAUUUUUCUUCGGACACUUAACAAGGUGCUGCAUGGUUGUCGUCAGCUCGUGCCGCGAGGUGUCAGGUUAAGUCCUAUAACGAGCGCAACCCCUGUUGUUAGUUGCCAGCGAGUAAUGUCGGGAACUCUAGCAAGACUGCCAGUGCAAACUGUGAGGAAGGUGGGGAUGACGUCAAAUCAUCACGGCCCUUACGUCCUGGGCUACACACGUGCUACAAUGGUAGGUACAGAGAGCAGCCAAUGCGCGAGCAUGAGCAAAUCUAUAAAACCUAUCUCAGUUCGGAUCG
rnacentral:rRNA from 1 species